UACGUAGGGUGCGAGCGUUGUCCGGAAUUAUUGGGCGUAAAGAGCUCGUAGGCGGUUUGUCGCGUCGGCCGUGAAAACUUGGGGCUUAACCCCAAGCCUGCGGUCGAUACGGGCAGACUUGAGUUCGGCAGGGGAGACUGGAAUUCCUGGUGUAGCGGUGAAAUGCGCAGAUAUCAGGAGGAACACCGGUGGCGAAGGCGGAUCUCUGGGCCGUAACUGACGCUGAGGAGCGAAAGCAUGGGGAGCGAACAGG
rnacentral:rRNA from 1 species